rnacentral:ncRNA from 1 species
AUUAAUCCAUGCAUGUGUAUGUAUGAACAAAUUCAAACUGUGAAACUGCGAAUGGUUCAUUAAAUCAGUUAUAGUUUGUUUGAUGGUAUCUACUACUCGGAUAACUGUGGUAAUUCUAGAGCUAAUAAUACAACGAACCCCGACUUCUGGAAGGGAUGCAUUUAUUAGAUAAAAGGUCAACGCGGGCUUUGCCUGUUGCUGCUAUGAUUCAUGAUAACUGGACGCAUCGCACGGCCAUCAUGCUGGCGACGCAUCACUCAAAUUUCUGCCCUAUCAACUUUCUAUGGUAGGGUAGUGGCCAACUGUUAGACCUCCACCACUUUGAGUUCGACUUGACAUAAAGAAUGUUGUCAUGAGGCAGCAAGAG